AACCUAAAAAAUUUGGCGGUGUUUUAAAUAAUUGGAGGAACCUGUUAUUUAAAUGAUAAUCCACAUCAUAUCUUACCUAAGUUUUGUCUGUAUAUCGUUGUUUAUAGAUAAUAUUUUAAAAUUAUUAUCAAAUCCAGUUUAUUUUUAAAAAUCAAAUCUAGGUGCAGCAUACUUAGGCUAUAAUGGGUUACAAUAUAUAUAAUAUAUUAUGGAAAUAAAAUGAAAAUAUUAUGAAAAGUGGAUUCAAAAGUAAAAUAAUAUUAAAAAGUUUAUUUGAUUAAAAAUUUUAAACAUGCACACAU
rnacentral:rRNA from 1 species